UACUCCUACGGGAGGCAGCAGUAAGGAAUAUUGGACAAUGGUCGGAAGACUGAUCCAGCCAUGCCGCGUGAAGGACGAAGGCGCUCAGCGUUGUAAACUUCUUUUGUACGGGAACAAAACCACCAAUGCGUUGGUGUCUGAGGGUACCGUAAGAAUAAGCACCGGCUAACUCCGUGCCAGCAGCCGCGGUAAUA
rnacentral:rRNA from 1 species